CUACUGUCUAUUUUUUUUCCUUCCCCAUAAGCCUAAGGUGUGGGGAAGGCUCCCUCUCUGGAGGAGCAGGUCGGAAGACCUCGGUGCAAAAGCAGGGACCCCCUGGCUGACCCUGUUCUCCCUCUGCAAAAUAAAGGAACCCCACCGGUGCAGAACCGUGCCACUGCACCCAUAAGACAGCCCCGAGGCUCCUGGCAGACCCUACCGGGAAUUACACAGCAAGAUGGCUUUCCUUACUCCAUCAUGGCUAGAGCCUCUGCAAGGGCUGAAGCCCUUUGAUCUUGGCUUCAUUUGGAUACAUUUCAAGGGCCUUACUGGCUUUGGGCAAGUGCUGAAGUUCACUCAUUUUCUAUUGGUUGUUUCUCCCCAUGAAAGACAUUGAACAUAAGUGGUGUGGAAUAAUGUUAAGCUUCUCUGAUGGGUCCUAAAUGGUUGAAGAACACCCCUCAAGAGAUGGGAAGAUUCUAAGAGCCAGAGAGAAUGGAUUACUCCAAGGCAACACAAUGGGACUGAUGACCACAUGAACUCUUAGAGACUGUAGCAGCUUGCACCAGGCCUGU
ensembl:lincRNA 9030622O22Rik RIKEN cDNA 9030622O22 gene